UACGUAGGGUGCGAGCGUUAAUCGGAAUUACUGGGCGUAAAGCGUGCGCAGGCGGUUCGUUGUGUCGGCGGUGAAAGCCCCGGGCUUAACCUGGGAAUGGCCGUCGAAACUGGCGAACUGGAGUGUGGCAGAGGGGGGUGGAAUUCCGCGUGUAGCAGUGAAAUGCGUAGAGAUGCGGAGGAACACCGAUGGCGAAGGCAGCCCCCUGGGCUGACACUGACGCUCAGGCACGAAAGCGUGGGGAGCGAACGGG
rnacentral:rRNA from 1 species